UACGAAGGGGGCGAGCGUUGUUCGGAUUUACUGGGCGUAAAGAGCGCGUAGGCGGCACGGUACGACCGGUGUGAAAGCCCCCGGCUCAACUGGGGAGGGUCACCGGUAACUGCCGAGCUAUGAGUGCAGGAGAGGGAAGUGGAACUCCGGGAGUAGCGGUGAAAUGCGUAGAGACCCGGAGGAACACCAGUGGCGAAGGCGGCUUCCUGGUCUGCAACUGACGCUGUGGCGCGAAAGCUAGGGGAGCAAACGGG
rnacentral:rRNA from 1 species